rnacentral:rRNA from 1 species
UGGGGAAUUUUUCGCAAUGGGCGCAAGCCUGACGAAGCAACGCCGCGUGGAGGAUGAAGGUCUUCGGAUUGUAAACUCCUGUCGACCGGGACGAAUGCACUCGACCUAAUACGUCGGAAUGUUGACGGUACCGGUGGAGGAAGCCACGGCUAACUCUGUGCCAGCAGCCGCGGUAAUACAGAGGUGGCAAGCGUUGUUCGGAAUUACUGGGCGUAAAGGGCGCGUAGGCGGCCUUAUAAGUCUCGUGUGAAAGCCCUCGGCUUAACUGAGGAUCUGCACGGGAUACUGUAAGGCUCGAGUUCGGGAGAGGAAAGCGGAAUUCCGGGUGUAGCGGUGAAAUGCGUAGAUAUCCGGAGGAACACCAGUGGCGAAGGCGGCUUUCUGGACCGACACUGACGCUGAGGCGCGAAAGCUAGGGGAGCAAACGG